rnacentral:snRNA from 1 species
CUCCAUGUGAUGAACACAAGGCGAACUAUUCUUUCGCCUUUUACUAAAGAAUACCGUGUGUUCGUCACGCUAAUAGUUGUGUAAUCUAAUUUUUGUUGGGUUUAAUUUUUUUCUAAGUUGA